AAUCUCGACCAGAAAAGAUGCAACAUUAUUAUUUAGACGCUUGACAAAAUCAAACGUUUGUAUGAUUCUGAUGCACAGCACAAUUAUAAUCGUUCACCAAUUUUGAGAAGGUAAGAUUAUUAUUUGGACGCUUGAAAAAGGAAACGUUUGUCUGCCGAAGAUAAUCACGUGACUCAAGGCCAUGUGCUAGUAUCAACAGUGCGGCAGUGCCAGUGAAAGUCAGGCGGUAUGCCGGAACAACAGAGUCUUGAUUUUUAGAGGCAGGUUUUAAAGAAAGGAAAAGAAAUCGGUGUUGUAAAGAAAGAAAAAGAUUUUCCACUCAAAGAAUUAUGGAUAACACAGAGUACUUCCUAUUGAUGACAUCUUAACCAACUUUGAAAAAAGUUUUGUUUGAAAGAAGAGGAUCUGAAGAAGGAGAAAGAUCUGUUUAGAUUCAGAUGGAUUAAUAGACUGUCAGACCUUUUGCCAUCACUUAAUUCUGUACUAUUAGUUCUGUAACACUGAGCCUAUAAGCUUUUGACAUGAUGGUUUAUCUAAUUUGAGAGAGCAGAGUCCAUGAUAUCAGUCUUUAAGCAUUUCAAGAUUUACAGAAUAUGUACAGAUAUAAUAGCAGAUAAAAAUCCCACACAAAGAACACACUGAUAUAAAGUUAAUGGAAUUUAGAGAUAUUUCAUUUCUCUCUUGUGUGGAUUGAUUUAAGAAAAAAAAAAGUUUAUGCCAGAAAAAUAUAAUAAAUUAAUUACUUGAG